CCUACGGGUGGCAGCAGUGGGGGAUAUUGCACAAUGGGGGAAACCCUGAUGCAGCGACGUCGCGUGAGUGAAGAAGUCUCUCGGUAUGUUAAGCUCCAUCAGCAGGGGAGUAAAAAGACGCUACCUGACUAAGAAGCCCCGGCUAAAUACGUGCCAGCAGCCGCGGUAAUACGUAGGGGGCAGGCGUUAUCCGGAUUUACUGGGUGUAAAGGGAGCGUAGACGGGAAUACAAGUCGGAAGUGAAAUCUCCGGGCGCAACCUGGGAACUGCUGUUGAAACUGUAUGGCUAGAGGGCGGGAGAGGUAGGCGGAAUUCGUGGUGUAGCGGUGAAAUGCGUAGAUAUUAGGAGGAACCCCGAUGGCGAAGGCGGCUUACUGGAGAGUAACUGACGUUGAGGCUCGAAAGCGUGGGGAGCAAACAGGAUUAGAUACCCCGGUAGUC
rnacentral:rRNA from 1 species